AGUGAACGCUGGCGGCAGGCCUAACACAUGCAAGUCGAACGGCAGCACAGUAAGAGCUCGCUCUUACGGGUGGCGACGGGCGGACGGGUGAGGAAUACAUCGCAAUCUACUUUUUCGGGGGGGAUAACGUAGGGAAACUGACGCUAAUACCGCAUACGACCUACGGGUGAAAGCAGGGGAUCUUCGGACCUUGCGCGAUUGAAUGAGCCGAUGUCGGAUUAGCUAGUUGGCGAGGUAAAGGCCCACCAAGGCGACGAUCCGUAGCUGGUCUGAGAGGAUGAUCAGCCACACUGGAACUGAGACACGGUCCAGACUCCUACGGGAGGCAGCAGUGGGGAAUCUUGGACAAUGGGCGAAAGCCUGAUCCAGCAAUACCGCGUGGGUGAAGAAGGCCUUCGGGUUGUAAAGCCCUUUUGUUGGGAAAGAAAAGCAGCAGGUUAAUACCCCGCCGUUCUGACGGUACCUAAAGAAUAAGCACCGGCUAACUUCGUG
rnacentral:rRNA from 1 species